rnacentral:siRNA from 1 species
CGAUCUACAUAGAAUUGGGCCA